rnacentral:rRNA from 1 species
GUGGCAGACGGGUGAGUAACGCGUGGGAACGUACCUUUCGCUACGGAAUAGCUCCGGGAAACUGGUGGUAAUACCGUAUACGCCCUUAGGGGGAAAGAUUUAUCGGCGAAAGAUCGGCCCGCGUUGGAUUAGCUAGUUGGUGAGGUAAUGGCUCACAAAGGCGACGAUCCAUAGCUGGUCUGAGAGGAUGAUCAGCCACACUGGGACUGAGACACGGCCCAGACUCCUACGGGAGGCAGCAGUGGGGAAUCUUGCACAAUGGGCGAAAGCCUGAUGCAGCCAUGCCGCGUGAAUGAUGAAGGCCUUAGGGUUGUAAAAUUCUUUCGUCAGGGAUGAUAAUGACAGUACCUGAAGAAGAAGCCCCGGCUAACUUCGUGCCAGCAGCCGCGGUAAUACGAAGGGGGCUAGCGUUGUUCGGAAUUACUGGGCGUAAAGCGCACGUAGGCGGACUUUUAAGUCAGGUGUGAAAUCCCGGGGCUCAACCUCGGAACUGCAUUUGAAACUGGAAGUCUUGAGACCAGGAGAGGUUAGCGGAAUACCGAGUGUAGAGGUGAAAUUCGUAGAUAUUCGGUGGAACACCAGUGGCGAAGGCGGCUAACUGGACUGGUACUGACGCUGAGGUGCGAAAGUGUGGGGAGCAAACAGGAUUAGAUACCCUGGUAGUCCACACCGUAAACGAUGAGAGCUAGUUGUUGGCAGGCAUGCCUGUCAGUGACGCAGCUAACGCAUUAAGCUCUCCGCCUGGGGAGUACGGCCGCAAGGUUAAAACUCAAAGAAAUUGACGGGGGCCCGCA